UUACGGCCAUAUUUAAUGUAAACAUCGGUUCCCGUACGAUCACCGAAGUUAAGCAACGUCAAGCCUGGUCAGUACCUUGAUGGAUGACCACUUGAGAAUACCAGAUUCUG